GACGAACGCUGGCGGCGUGCUUAACACAUGCAAGUCGAACGGAAAGGCCCUGCUUUUGUGGGGUGCUCGAGUGGCGAACGGGUGAGUAAAACGUGAGUAACCUGUCCUUGACUUUGGGAUAACUUCAGGAAACUGGGGCUAAUACAGGAUAGGAGCUCCUGCUGCAUGGUGGGGGUUGGUAAGUUUCGGCCGUUGGGGCUGGACUCGCGGCUUAUCAGCUUGUUGGUGAGGUAGUGGCUUACCAAGGGUUUGACGGGUAGCCGGCCUGGGAGGGUGACCGGCCACAUUGGUACUGAGGUACGGCCCAGACUCCUACGGGAGGCAGCAGGGGGGAGUAUUGCACAAUGGGCGGAAGCCUGAUGCAGCAACGCCGCGUGCGGGAUGACGGCCUUCGGGUUGUAAACCACUUUCGCCGGUGACGAAGCGUGAGUGACGGUAAUGGGUAAAGAAGCACCGGCUAACUACGUG
rnacentral:rRNA from 1 species